rnacentral:rRNA from 1 species
GAUGAACGCUAGCGGCAGGCCUAACACAUGCAAGUCGAGGGAGAGGUUAUCUUCGGGUAACCAAAACCGGCGCACGGGUGGGUAACGCGUAUACAAUCUGCCUUUCACAUAGGGAUAGCCCGAAGAAAUUUGGAUUAAUACCUAAUGGUAUAUAAGAGCGGCAUCGUUUUUAUAUUAAAGCUACGGUGGUGAAAGAUGAGUAUGCGUUCUAUUAGCUAGUUGGAGAGGUAACGGCUCCCCAAGGCGACGAUAGAUAGGGGCUCUGAGAGGGAUGUCCCCCACACUGGUACUGAGAUACGGACCAGACUCCUACGGGAGGCAGCAGUGAGGAAAUUGGCAAUGGUCGGAAGCUGAUCCAGCAUGCCGCGUGCAGGAUGAGGUCCUAUGGAUUGUAAACUGCUUUUGUAAGGGAAGAAAAAGGAGUACGUGUACUUUUGAUGACGGUACCUUACGAAUAAGCAUCGGCUAAACUCCGUGCCCAGCAGCCGCGGGUAAUACGGAGGGAUGCGAGGCGUUUUUCCGGAAUUCUUUGGUUUUAAAGGGGCCGGUAGGCGGGCUUGAUAAGUCAGAGGUGAAAAGCGCUUAGCUCAACUAAGCAACUGCCUUUUGAAACUGUCAGUCUUGAAUUGAUUGUGAAGUAGUUGGAAAGUGUAGUGAGGCGGUGAAAUGCUUAGAUAUUACACCGAACACCGAUAGCAAAAGCCAUAUUUACUUGCAUUUUAUUGACCGUGAGGGAGGAGAGCGGGGGGAGCGAACAGGAAUAAGAUACCCCUGGUAGUCUAGGGCGAUUUCAAGUUGAUAUUUAGUUUAUCGGGGCCGCCCCCCCCCCGGCCCCCCCGUAUCAAUUUUUGGUCUGGGGGGGAGUAUAAAAUGUAAAAAAAAAAAAAAAUU